UACGAAGGGGGCUAGCGUUGCUCGGAAUCACUGGGCGUAAAGGGUGCGUAGGCGGGUUUUAAGUCAGGGGUGAAAUCCUGGAGCUCAACUCCAGAACUGCCUUUGAUACUGAAGAUCUUGAGUCCGGGGAGAGGUGAGUGGAACUGCGAGUGUAGAGGUGAAAUUCGAUAGAUAUUCGCAAGAACACCAGUGGCGAAGGCGGCUCACGUG
rnacentral:rRNA from 1 species